AAAAUUGAGUGAACUCCUGGAAAGAGAGACAGAGAGAGUGAGAGAGAGAGAGAGGGAAAAAUGAAGCAAGAAGAGAAAGAGAAAGCGCCAUCCGCCAUGGCCAGUAUCUUAAGCUUGGUACACGAACUCCGAGAUAGAAUAGCAGCUUCAUCAUCAACACCUACCAACAAACGAGAUGACGUCGCUUUAGAGUCUCGAUUUCGCGAUGUUCUCCCUAAUCUCCUCAACGUCUAUGUCAUCGCCUCUCCCUCAGCUAAUGAGAGAGAAGUUAUUGCAAUAAUUAAACUGCUUAAUCAUACCGCCAAGAAUUUUCCCGGUGUUUUCUACCAUGGAAAAGUUAAUGCUGUAUUGCCUGUCAUUGGCCGUCUCUUGCCGUUCUUUGCCGAGCCGACGUUUCGGGGUCGACAUGGAGUGAUUCUUGACACCAUUGGCUCUCUUCUAGCUUUGCUUCGAAGUGGGGACCGAGAUGCAUAUCGACAAUUUUUUGUGGACGCUAUGCUAGCUAUUGAAGAUCUUGAGUAUGUAGCAUCACUGCACUAUAGCAAAUCAAGCAUUAUAGAAUCCAGCCGAGUAUCUCUAAAGUGCUUUUCAAAGUCAUUUGCUGAAAUAUCUCAUGGUGGAGUGUUGUUCAGUGAUCUUCCAGAACGUAACAAGCCUGAUGAUGGCUAUGGUAUCUUAGUUGACCUCACGCUCAAGGAAAGGUGGCAGUUAUUUUCUACUUGGAUCAUUUGCCUCCUAAGUAAAUGCUUAACUGAGGGAACUCUUUAUGUGGAAGGACUUAUGACCUCUUCUUUUAUUAUGGCUGCGUGCUCCAUGUUAUGUUUUGAAGAUGCUGAUUUGCUUAUGGCAUGUUUUGACUUCGCCCGAAUAGCUGGAACGGUGAUGAACUAUGAGAUUGUUCCAUAUGAAAAAAUAAUCUUCUCCAUAGUAAUUAUAUUAAGUGAAGCUGAUGGAAAUCUUCUGGUGUUCAGAAAUAUGGCGUUUGACUCCACAAUAGGUAAUUGUCUUGAUGCUCUGCAUUCGAGGGCCCCUGCCAACAUCGUUAGAUUGACAGCUGCUGAAUUAGUUUCUGUGUUCUAUAGAUCUUUACAGAAAACGAAAAGUGCUGACUUACAGGGUGCCCUGUGUAGGGUGUAUGUCCGGAUCUGUAAAACUUGUCGUCCUCAUGUAUGGAAGCCGGAAGCUCUGCUAAAUAUGAUUUGUUCCUCGAGCAACUGCUUUAUGUUACAAGAUUGCUUUGAUGUGGCUAUUUCUAUUCUUGGUAUUGAUAGGGUUGGUGGAGGCAUCAUCAGCGAUACCACUCCAAGUCAUGCUGCAGCAUUUGACAACAUAUCAGAUAGUUCCAGAGUAGAAUGCAAAAGACCAGCAGAGGAUCUAAGAACUUCUAAUGUAAAGCGCCAGAAGACAAAUGGGGAAGAGAUUGCAUCUGACUUUGACAGGAAGAGAGAUGAGGGGUUUUGCCAGCUGAAUUUGGAGAUAAAUGAAAAAUAUGCUUCUGAUAUGGGUACAUCACUUCUUUCAGUGGUUGAAUCUCUUAGACCUAUUGUUGGGACCAAAUGUAUCAGAAAUGAACGUGCUCUGGAAACUCUUAGCAUGCUUUGUAUGGUCUUCUGUAAAUGCCCAAGCACCAAUAUAUCAGUAAGGUUAUUUCAGCUGAUGUAUAUGUGGAUCCCAUGGAUUUGUCGGCAGGCAAAUCAAGAGAACUCCAUCCAGUUUGAUUUGUCAAGCUAUCUGGAAGCAUUGCACAAAAUACUCCUAUUGCCAAAUACAGGUUCAUUUCGUCAACAUAUUAAUCACUUCUGGAGUGAUGAUGAUAACACAGAUCUUAUUUAUUCUGUGCUUAAGCUUCCAUGGUCUCAUUUUCUCGGGGUCAUCAAAACGCAUCAGCCAUGGAGAACAAAGUGCCUUUCUAUUCAUGUAUUGUCUAAGAUUGGUCCUAAAUCAGAGCAUCAGUUUGAUGUUUUAAAUUUGGGUCUUCAUGAUGAGGUGGAAGAAGUCAGAAUGGAAGCUAUCAUGUCUAUGCCAGUAAUUACUCUGUCAUCUGGUUUUCACACAUUCUCUCCUAUUUUUACAUGGCUCAAGUUUCUUGGAAAAGAGGCGCAUGAGAAUGUCAAAAGAAUAAUUCCAUUUUCUCUAGGUUAUUUGUCAUGCCUGCAGGAACCUUAUCAUAAUCCCGAUAGUGGCAGCACACAUGACUGCAAAAUAUUCUUUCACAAUGAUCAAAAUCUGAUGCUAGACUCUUUGUUUCAAGGGUUUUGGUGUUCAAAGUGUGACAAAAAGGCUGUUCAUGCUGAUUCUCAUAAUGCAUUAGUCAUGCAUCUCCAAGAUAAUAUAUGCAGAAAGGACAUUGCUGACUGCAACCCUAGUUUCAUACUUCCAUUGUUUUUCAAAUUUAUUUUUGAUGAGUCUUCCGAAGAGGUCCAAGUUUCUUGCAUUGAAAUACUUCACCGUAUCAUCAUGCAUGCAGAGAAGAAAGUUCUGCUAGAAACGAGAUCUGAAUGGAUCAAAUGUAUUGAUUAUUUGCUCCUCCACAGAAAGAGGUCUUUGAGGGAGGCAUUCUGCUCUCAGAUCAGCUUUUUCUUGGACGACAACAUUUUAGUUUGUUUGUUUCCAGAGAAGGAGAUGCAAAAUGCAAAUAAUAGGCAUAUGUUUCUUGACAAAAUAGUGACAGCUGUUGCAGCAACUGAAGACCCGCAGACUGUUCAAACUUUGUUGGAGUCUGCAGCUGAGAUCAUGGUUGCAGUUGAUAUAAACUGUCAGCUUUUCUUAUCCUCCCUUAUUUUGCUAGUUGACAAGCUUGACAAUCCUCAUCUGACUGUUAGAGUGACUACUGCAAGGUUAAUUAAUCAGUCGUGCUACUUCCAUCUGCAAGGGGGAUUUGAACUAGUCCUUUCAAAGGUUGCUCAUAUUCAAAAUGAAAUAUAUGAAUAUCUUUGCCUAAGGCUUGUAAGUCGUCCCAAGUUGGUACGGGAGUUUGCUGAGGCUGUUCUUGGUAUUGAAACCAAUCAACUGGUCGAUAAAAUGAUUCCUGUUGUUCUACCAAAGUUUAUUGUCUCUCUGAAGAAUGAUGAUCAAUUAGUUGCACUUUUGAAUGAGCUUGCUAAAGUCUUGAAUACUGACAUGUUGAAAAUGAUUGUUAAUUCGGUACAUAAAGUGCUAGCUUAUGCUUUUCAGCAAUCUGAUCGAAAUGAAUUGCUCUCUGUAUUGGAAUUUUACCGUGCACGGACAGAAACUAACGAGCAAGAAUUAUUUGCUGCUGUAUUUCCUGCAUUGUUGGAAGAUUGGGUGUGCUUUGUGGAUGGCGAUGACCUAGAUGAGAUAAGCAAAAGGUUGGUAAGAGUACCGCAAAUGAUAAAAGAAGUUGCGAAAAUUCUGACUGGAAGCGAAGAUCUUCCUGGCUUUUUGAAGAAUCAUUUUGUUCACCUUCUCAACAGUAUUGAUAAGAAGAUGCUUCGUGCUAAGGAUGUCUUUUGGCAGAAGCAAGCCAUUAAACGUAUAGAAAUGUUGAUUAAACUGAUGGGUCCUCACCUUAGUACCUAUGUACCACAGCUUAUGGUGCUUCUCAUGCAAGCAAUUGAGAAGGAGUCCCUGCGUAGUGAAGGUCUCUCUGCAUUACAUUUCUUUAUCAAGCAGCUGGCGAUGCUGUCUCCAUCUAGUGCCAAACAUGUUAUAUUUCAAGUGUUUGCUGCUCUUAUUCCUUUUUUAGAGAAAGAAAAAGAUAAACCUUCAAUGCAUUUGGAGAAGAUUGUUGACAUUUUGGAAGAGCUUGUGUGUGAAAACAAGGCUGUACUAAAGCAGCACAUACGUGAAUUUCCUCUGUUGCCCAGCAUACCUGCAUUAGUAAAGGUGAAUCAAGUUAUACAAGAAGCAAGAGGGUCAAUGACUUUAAAGGAUCAAUUGCGGGAUGCUGCUGAUGGCUUGAACCAUGAGAACUUGAAUGUUAGGUAUAUGGUUGCUUGUGAGCUAAGCAAAUUAUUGAAACUUAAGAAAGAGGAUGUGGCGGCAGCAAUUGCCACAGAACUGGGUUUAGAUUUUACUGUUUUGAGUUCUCUGAUCACAUCUUUACUAAGAGGAUGUGCAGAAGAAUCACGAACCUCAGUUGGGCAAAGGCUAAAAUUGGUAUGUGCAGAUUGUCUUGGAGCUCUAGGUGCGGUUGAUCCUGCCAAGGUUAAGGCAGCAUCAUGUCAAAGAUUCAAAAUUCAGUGCUCCGAUGAUGAUUUGAUCUUUGAAUUGAUCCAUAAGCACCUUGCAAGGGCAUUUAGAGCUGCCCCUGAUACUUCUAUUCAAGAUUCUGCCGCACUGGCUAUACAAGAGCUGCUAGAAAUUGCUGGAUGUGCACCGGGGUCUGAGGGCUCUAAUCACUGUCAAGUGAUGAGUGGAAGGGGUCAACGGUUGUGGGACCGUUUUUCCAACUAUGUUAAGGAGAUCAUAGCACCAUGCUUAACUUCAAAGCUUAAACUUCCGAAUGCAUCAGAUUCUACAUCUCCUGGUGCUAUAUAUAGUCCUUCUUUGUCAUUCAGGAGCUGGAUCUUCUUAUGGAUAAAAAAACUAAUUCUGGAUGCUACUGGAUCUCGUGCAAACAUUUUUAACGCUUGCCGUGGUAUAGUACGCCAUGAUAUGCAAACAGCGAUAUAUCUGCUGCCUUAUAUAGUUCUUGAUGUGGUUUGCCAUGGUUCGGAGGCAGCCCGUUCUGGAAUCACAGAAGAGAUAUUGUCUGUCCUUAAUGCAGCUGCCGCGGAGAAUAGUGGUGCAGCAGUUCAUGCGAUUGGUGGUGGGCAAGGUGAGGUUUGUAUCCAAGCUGUAUAUACUCUGCUUGAUAAUAUGGGACAAUGGGUUGAUGAUGUGGCGCAGGAAAUAGCACUUUCCCAUUCUCUUUCAUCUGUCUCUUCUAGACAAGCUUCCAAGCUUGGCAAUGUAUCUAGCAACUCUACAACCGAUAUGGACCAGCUUCGUGCUCAAUGCAAAUAUGUCUCAGAGCUCCUGGAUGCAAUUCCUAAGGUGACCCUGGCAAGAGCAUCCUUUCGGUGUCAUGCUUAUGCUAGAUCAUUGAUGUACUUUGAAUCGCAUGUUAGGGGAAAAUCAGGAUCAUUUAACCCAGCAGCUGAGAGGAGUGGCAACUUUGAAGAUGAAGACAUCUCAUUUUUGAUGGAAAUCUACAGUGGUAUGGAUGAACCUGAUGGUUUAUCAGGGUUGGCAAGCUUAAAAAAGUCAGUAAGCUUACAAGAUCAGCUGUUGAUAAAUAAAAAAGCUGGAAACUGGGCAGAGGUACUGACUUCAUGUGAACAAGCUUUGCAGAUGGAACCCACCUCAGUUCAAAGGCAUUCGGAUGUUCUUAACUGCUUACUUAAUAUGUGCCAUCUGCAGACAAUGGUCACCCAUGUGGAUGGCCUAAUAUCUAGAAAUUCUCAAUACAGGAAAACAUGGUGCAUGCAAGGGGUGCAGGCUGCAUGGAGGCUUGGGAAGUGGGAGCUGAUGGAUGAGUAUCUUAAUGGAGCUGAUAAAGAAGGCCUACAAUGUAGCAUUUCUGAUAGCAAUGCUUCAUUUGACAUGGAUGUUGCUAAAAUUCUUCAGGCAAUCAUGGAGAAGGACCAGUUUACAGUUGAUGAGAGAAUUGGUAAAUCAAAGCAAGCUCUAAUUGCCCCAUUAGCUGCUGCUGGAAUGGACUCUUAUGCACGAGCUUAUCCAUUUGUCGUAAAGCUCCACCUUUUGAAGGAGCUGGAAGAUUUUCAUGGUUUACUUGUUGGCCAUUCUUUCUUAGAAAAACGUUUUCAUCUUGGAGACCCGGAGUUCUUUAAAGUCAUAGAGAACUGGGACAAUAGGCUAAGAUUUACGCAGCCAUCUCUCUGGGCAAGGGAGCCACUUUUAGCUUUCAGGAGACUUGUUUUUGGUGCCAGUGAUCUGGGUGCUCAAGUUGGAGAGUGUUGGCUUCAAUAUGCUAAGCUCUGUCGAUCUGCUGGUCAUUAUGAGACGGCUAAUCGAGCUAUACUCGAGGCAAAUUCUUCUGGUGCACCUAAUGUCCACAUUGAAAAGGCCAAGCUUUUGUGGAGCAUGAAGCGGUCUGAGGGUGCGAUUGCUGAAUUGCAGCAGUCUCUCUUGAGCAUGCCCAUGGAAGUUGUUGGCUCUGCUGCAAUAUCAUCUAUAACUAGCCUUGCAUUGAUUCCUCUGAACCCACAAUCCUUGCAUGCAGAUACUCAAGCUUCAAAUGAGAAUCCUAGUAUUGCAAAAACCCUUCUCUUGUACUCGAGAUGGAUCCAUUAUACUGGACAGAAGCAGAAAGAUGAUGUAAUGAGUUUGUAUUCUAGAGUCAGGGAACUGCAACCUAAGUGGGAGAAAGGAUACUUUUAUGUUGCUAAAUAUUGUGAUGAAGUACUUGUUGAUGCUAGAAAACGUCAGGUGGAGGAUGUUGACACUAAUGUGAGGAUUUCGUCUGCUGCUGCUAUCAUCGGUAAUAAUUUGAAUGCUGAGAAGCCCUGGUGGGUUUAUCUUCCUGAAGCACUUCUAUUUUACGCUAAAGGACUUCACAGGGGUCAUAAAAAUCUUUUCCAAGCCCUUCCGAGAUUGUUGACUCUUUGGUUUGACUUUGGAAGUGUAUAUCAGCAAAUUGGCCCAUCAAAUAAAGAUUUAAAAAAUGUCCAUGGGAAGGUAAUGAGUAUCAUGCGAGGCUGUCUAAAGGAUUUGCCAGCUUAUCAGUGGUUGACUGUUCUGCCACAGUUAGUCUCUAGAAUUUGCCACCAAAAUGAAGAGAUUGUUCGAUUGGUCAAACACAUUAUUACAUCUGUGCUCCGGCAAUAUCCUCACCAAGCAUUAUGGCUCAUGGCGGCCGUUUCUAAAUCUGCUGUUCCUUCAAGGAGACAAGCAGCUGCAGAGAUCUUGCAAGCUGCACGCAAGGGGACAAGUCCUAACAGUAACCGUAGUGACUUGUUUUCUCAGUUUACCAGUCUAAUUGACCAUCUGAUUAGGUUGUGCUUUCAUGGUGGCCAAUCAAAAGCAAGGACAAUUAAUAUUUUAACUGAAUUCAGUGCCCUGAAGAGAAUGAUGCCUCUAGGAAUAAUUAUGCCCAUUCAGCAGUCUCUGACUGUUAACUUGCCGGCUUUUGAUACAAUUUUGACAGAUUCAUCUAAUAUCUUCUCAGAUACUGAUAUCCCAACAAUAGCAGGAAUAGCUGAUGAAGCUGAAAUACUUUCGUCUCUUCAACGUCCGAAGAAAGUUGUUCUUGUUGGAAGUGAUGGCAUUGAGCGUGCUUUCCUCUGCAAACCCAAAGAUGACCUACGAAAGGAUGCACGUAUGAUGGAAUUCAAUGCUAUGAUAAAUCGUCUGCUAUCAAAAUGUGCAGAAAGCCGCCGCAGGAAACUCUAUAUUCGCACUUUUGCUGUUAUUCCUCUGACCGAGGAUUGUGGUAUGGUGGAAUGGGUGCCUCACACUCGUGGUCUGCGGCACAUUCUUCAGGAUAUCUAUAUAACAUGCGGAAAUUUUGAUAGACAGAAGACAAAUCCUCAAAUUAAGCGGAUGUAUGAUCAGUGCCAAGGGAAAAUGCAAGAAGACGAGAUGCUGAAGACCAAAAUUCUUCCAAUGUUUCCCCCUGUUUUCCACAAAUGGUUUUUGAAAACUUUUGCUGAGCCAGCUGCCUGGUUCAGAGCCAGGAUUGCUUAUGCUCAUACUACUGCAGUGUGGUCCAUGGUUGGGCACAUUGUAGGUCUUGGGGAUCGGCAUGGUGAAAACAUUCUCUUUGAUUCCACUACAGGGGACUGUGUGCAUGUUGACUUUAGUUGCUUAUUUGACAAAGGUUUGCUGUUGGAGAAGCCAGAGCUUGUGCCUUUCAGGUUGACCCAGAACAUGAUUGAUGGAUUGGGAAUUACUGGAUAUGAGGGAAUUUUCCUCAAGGUGUGCGAGAUCACUCUUUCGGUCCUCAGGAGUCACAGGGAGACUCUAAUGAGUGUUCUUGAAACAUUUAUCCAUGAUCCCCUUGUGGAGUGGACAAAAUCUCAUAAAUCAAGCGGAGUGGAAGUUCAGAAUCCCCAUGCCCAGAGAGCUAUAAAUAACAUUGAAGCAAGGUUUAAAGGAAUUGUUGUUGGGGUUGCAGCAGCACCAUCUUUACCUUUAGCUGUGGAAGGCCAAGCUCGUCGGUUGAUUGCUGAGGCCGUCUCUCACAAAAACCUUGGGAAAAUGUAUAUAUGGUGGAUGCCUUGGUUUUAAUUGCAGUUUCUUACAAAAUCGAGGCAGCUUCUGUCAUGUCUACUGGUCCCAGAGGUUGUUUUGAUGGUUAAUUCUUCUUUUCUACAUAUGAUUCUCCACUAUCCAUAAGUAAUGGUUCCACUUGCUAUUUACGAUGUCUAGAAAAAGUUGUCACCUACCAUUAUGGUAAUAUUACUAAUAUAUUAUUGUUUUUUUGCUGUCUUGAUUCAAGUAUGCCUCGUACUCGUCUGCUAUGUCUGGACGAUUCCUUAAAGACACCCAUCUGGGUUGGUGAUAAAAGUUGGCAUGGCUUGCUAGAUUGGCAGGCUGUUUCUCGUCUGAAGAAGUAUUGGCAGGCUGCUUAGCAUGUGGUGCCACAAGGACUGAAAGCUGCUACUAGCAUGCAGACAAUGCCAAAAGAAAAGGUUAUUUGGAGGCCUCAUUAAUGUGAUGAUCAACAACUCUUAUAAAAUGGUGUUCAGCGUUACAGAGAAUUAAAAAUGGGGUAAUUGUGGACGACAUCGUCGUGGAAGCUCACAGUAUCUUUGAAGCUGGACAAUUUAUCCCAAGUGUAAUGCAAGUUUGGAGCUUUCUCUUGGUUUGGGUGACCAAGUAUUGAGAGCUGAUGCUAUAUAUACUAAAGUGGAUUUUGUCUUCCUUACAAGUCCUGGCUAUUUUCAGGAUUUUCAACUGAGUCAGAUUAUAUCGAGGUUCCAUGAGUAAUAUUGUAUUAUAUGUAGUUAUACACAUAAACGUGAAAAUUGAGAUCAGAACUCCUACAAUCUUCAGGUAUAAAGAUAAAAUGGUUCUGAUAUGGAUUCGUGUAGUUGGGUAGAUGAUGCGCUGAGCUCCUCAUGAUCUGUACGUCAAAUUGCAAAUAAAUGAUGAUCUGUAUCGUUGAACCAGAAAAACUAAACUAGGGUCAGUUUAUGCUAAAUCAGACUAGGCUUUCCAAGAUCACCUCGCCCAUACUCGUUGACUACAUGAUAUAUGACAGGAGUUUCCUACAUAAGCUGAAGAAAACGGAAAGGAAGCAUACUCACCCAACUCAAAGAACCAGGUCCUGAGAUUUGUAUAGGAUUGCAACAAAAGGUUCAUAAUAGAUUUCGCUGUGCAAAAGUUGGAAGGAGUGAAGGACUAGGGAGUCAUUACAGAUUUACGUUGUAUGACAGUAAUUUGCUGUUGCUGAAAAAUAUGGACAUGUUGAUUACUUCUUUAUCUAGUGUUAUUAUUAUAUGUAUACUUACCUCCCAAUUAAACUUUUGGGCUGUUCCAAAUAUUUAGUUGGCUAAAAUAAUUACGCAUAUAUUCUUCUGCAAA